GAUGAACGCUGGCGGCGUGCCUAAUACAUGCAAGUCGAGCGAACACACGAUGAGCUUUCUCUUCUUACGUUUGCGGCUGACGGGUGAGUAACACGUGUAUAACCUUCUUAUUUUUCUUGGAUAAUUUCGUGAAGCCGCAUCUACUACUGGCUAAUAUAUUGUACCGCAUUGUUCAAUAGUUCUUCACGGUUUUUCUGUCUCUUUUAGAUGUUUUCGGGUUGGAUUAGUUAGUUGGUAAGGUAACGGCUUACCAAGGCUACGAUGCGUAGCUGACCUGAGAGGGUGAUCAGCCACACUGGAACUGAGACACGGUCCAGACUCCUACGGGAGGCAGCAGUAGGGAAUAUUGGACAAUGGGCGAAAGCCUGACGGAGCAACGCCGCGUGAGUGAAGAAGGUCUUCGGAUUGUAAAACUCUGUUAUUAGGGAAGAAAAAAAGUGUAAGAAAAUAUGGACGUCUUGACGGUACCUAAAGAAAAAGCAACGGCUAACUACGUG
rnacentral:rRNA from 1 species